AGAGUUUCAAGAUCAAAUAAUUUUCAACAGUGGCGUACUAAGGGGGCAUGGGGGGUGGAAGCCGCAGAACUUCAAAACCGGCCGCAUCUAAGAAAACUGGUGGUGGGGCUAAUCAGCAGCAGGGCAAAGCCAAACCAGCAGCAGGGGCAGAGCUAAACAUUGCCACCACCCACUGCUGCACAUCUAGCAGGAUGGAGUCCCUGAUUCCCA